GUUAAACAGCAGUGAUGAAAAACGAAAGCUCACACGGGAAGCUGAAUCAUCUUGAUGUCUGAUCUAAUCUCCUCUCAUUAGAUUUAGUGAUCGGUUGAGGGCUCCCAGGGGCCACAUGCAUGAAGCCAUUGCUUACAUGUAGUUGUCACAUGUUUUAUAGCUGCUUGUUAACAGUCCCUCUGACUGCUGGCCAUCCUUUGACCCUUGCUGAAGCCUUGACGACUGCUGCGGACCACACAGAUUCGUCUGAGCAGUGUAAAUCCCAGAGAGCAGAGCGGCAGCUCCGCGGCCUGCCUGUACACGUCCUGCUGUGGGCUGCUGUCACCACACCUUCAGCUCCCAAACAGCACAAUUAUCCUGCACCCAGUGACAGAGUUCAAGGCAGCUUGAGCUGUUUGGCAUGGCUUUAAUUUGACUUCCACUGAUGAAUCUGUCAACAGCGUCAGUUAGACCGUCUGCGGCAAGAUCCCGACGCAAACACGAGAGGGCCGUUAUAAAUCUCACAAGGUCGCCGUCACCAGGAAACGUGCGACGUCUACAGCAGACGUUUGUGUCAGCGGUGAUUUGUCAGCUAAUAAUGGAUCUCUGCGGCAGGUAAUGGAAAUGAAUGGCAGCAGAGAAUGGAGCGGAGCCUGAAGAGGAAUGCAGAAAGUGAGCUAAACACCUCCCACAGGUCUGCUGGGAGAGCAGGCACACACAUGUGGCCCAACCGACCGGCUCCCAGGACCCGGGAGGAGGCGACACGCCGGCCCAGCAGGGACUCACUGCUUUACGCCUCUAGUCUAGUACAAACCUCAGCUUCAUCCACAGGCAGGAUGUAAUACUUAGAAAUGAUUUACAUUUCUAUAAAGGACAAUUUCAAAACAAAGAGUUUCUAGCUUCUUUGUUUUUCAUCCUUAACAUCCUCUCUGUUUCUGAUAAAGGCACAAAGGUUUGUUUUUCUUCAGAAACCCUCAGUAUCUGUCUCCAUUACGGAUCCAGUUCUAUGUGAUAUAUUUAAAGAAAACUAUCAAAACAAUCACAUCUGUCUUUAGUAAAGAAACAGCUUGUGUGAGUA